rnacentral:sRNA from 1 species
GUGAAGUUGAUCACUACAAACAUAUACCCCUUUGUUUGACCGUGAAAGAUUUCUCCCAUCCCCUUUGUUCGUAUUAAUAGAAAAAGACCUUGUAGCACCGGUGCUACAGGGUCUUU